CUGCUUUAUUACUCGGCUGGAAGACCGACCCAGGACCAGACCACACACAACAUGGGUCACCAAUCCCAAGAACAACCCCCAAGAUAUCGGCAUAAUGUUCCAGCGGCCGGGGCCUUCCAAAAUGGCCACCGAAGUGGAAGGUGAGGCCUGCACACCACCGCCCAGACAAACAGCAGAGGAGCUGAACCCCGUACCCCUAGAACGGCCGCAAGCACCCGCAGGAACUCCUGAAGAGGACCCUAAUACACCCUCCACAAAACAAGACAUAGCAAACCUGCUGCAGAACAUCAAGCAGUUGUUUGCAGCAGAUCUCGACCUGGUGAAGGUAGAAGUGCAAGCAGUGACAACCAGAACCCAGGCCUCGGAGGAGGUUAUAAUUGACCUGCGCCAAGAAGUCUCCACUAUCAAAGAAGCAAUGCAACAAAUGCAGAAAACCCAAACCUCC